UUUUAUGGAGAGUUUGAUCCUGGCUCAGGAUGAACGCUGGCGGCGUGCCUAAUACAUGCAAGUCGAGCGAACGGACGAGAAGCUUGCUUCUCUGAUGUUAGCGGCGGACGGGUGAGUAACACGUGGAUAACCUACCUAUAAGACUGGGAUAACUUCGGGAAACCGGAGCUAAUACCGGAUAAUAUUUUGAACCGCAUGGUUCAAAAGUGAAAGACGGUCUUGCUGUCACUUAUAGAUGGAUCCGCGCUGCAUUAGCUAGUUGGUAAGGUAACGGCUUACCAAGGCAACGAUGCAUAGCCGACCUGAGAGGGUGAUCGGCCACACUGGAACUGAGACACGGUCCAGACUCCUACGGGAGGCAGCAGUAGGGAAUCUUCCGCAAUGGGCGAAAGCCUGACGGAGCAACGCCGCGUGAGUGAUGAAGGUCUUCGGAUCGUAAAACUCUGUUAUUAGGGAAGAACAUAUGUGUAAGUAACUGUGCACAUCUUGACGGUACCUAAUCAGAAAGCCACGGCUAACUACGUGCCAGCAGCCGCGGUAAUACGUAGGUGGCAAGCGUUAUCCGGAAUUAUUGGGCGUAAAGCGCGCGUAGGCGGUUUUUUAAGUCUGAUGUGAAAGCCCACGGCUCAACCGUGGAGGGUCAUUGGAAACUGGAAAACUUGAGUGCAGAAGAGGAAAGUGGAAUUCCAUGUGUAGCGGUGAAAUGCGCAGAGAUAUGGAGGAACACCAGUGGCGAAGGCGACUUUCUGGUCUGUAACUGACGCUGAUGUGCGAAAGCGUGGGGAUCAAACAGGAUUAGAUACCCUGGUAGUCCACGCCGUAAACGAUGAGUGCUAAGUGUUAGGGGGUUUCCGCCCCUUAGUGCUGCAGCUAACGCAUUAAGCACUCCGCCUGGGGAGUACGACCGCAAGGUUGAAACUCAAAGGAAUUGACGGGGACCCGCACAAGCGGUGGAGCAUGUGGUUUAAUUCGAAGCAACGCGAAGAACCUUACCAAAUCUUGACAUCCUUUGACAACUCUAGAGAUAGAGCUUUCCCCUUCGGGGG
rnacentral:rRNA from 2 species